rnacentral:rRNA from 1 species
ACGCACGCUGGCGGCGUGCUUAACCCAUGCAAGUCGAACGCUGAAGCACCAGCUUGCUGGUGUGGAUGAGUGGCGAACGGGUGAGUAAUACGUGAGUAACCUGCCCUUGACUCUGGGAUAAGCCCGGGAAACUGGGUCUAAUACUGGAUGCUACAUGUCACCGCAUGGUGGUGUGUGGAAAGGGUUUACUGGUCUUGGAUGGGCUCACGGCCUAUCAGCUUGUUGGUGAGGUAAUGGCUCACCAAGGCGACGACGGGUAGCCGGCCUGAGAGGGUGACCGGCCACACUGGGACUGAGACACGGCCCAGACUCCUACGGGAGGCAGCAGUGGGGAAUAUUGCACAAUGGGCGAAAGCCUGAUGCAGCGACGCCGCGUGAGGGAUGACGGCCUUCGGGUUGUAAACCUCUUUCAGCAGGGAAGAAGCCACAAGUGACGGUACCUGCAGAAGAAGCGCCGGCUAACUACGUG